AAGGAUUCUCCAAAUAUAUCUAGUGGCUAGUAAAUUCUGACAUUUCACUUUCACUUUCAGUGUAAAAUAAGACUCUUGCUUUUACGAGCAAGAGUCAUAAUUGACACUCAAAAAUAGUCCAUCUCUAUUGGAAGAAUAAGAAGUCGAAGAUUCUCUGAAUAUUACAUAAAAUACAAUUAUUUCAACCAAUAAUUAUAUAUAAGAAUUACUUACAAAUUCAUUAACAAAAUCCGCUUUUUUUCUAGUCAAGGGACAUAAUUAUUCAAAUAUACUAAUGCAAGUAACUAAGUCGGAGAAGGAGCGAAAAUCCGAAACAGCACCUUAAUUAAAAAACAGAAAAUAGUUCCACGUGCACGUGUGUGUCCAAGUGAUCAAUCUACUUGUUAUUUACGAAGAAAAGAAAUUUAACUUCAAAAAUUGUUGAGAUCUUUAAAAAAAAAAAAAAAAAAUUGAUUCCAUUAAAGAAUACAAAGAAAGUAACCUUAUCUUUAAGGGCCUUGCAGGUUCUUGUUACUCCUACCCAAUCUGCUGGUAUUUUCAAAAUGGCUGCGGGGGACGCGGCCUGACAAAUUAUUUUAAUAUUGUGUCAGAUUAAAUAUUCCUGAUUUUGCUUCGUUAAUAUUAUAGACAAAUAUGCUACAAACGGUUUAAAGAUGUUACUCUAUUUCAAAUAAUUGAAAUAUAAUUACCUUUCUGUGUGUAAUUGCGUGAAUUGAUUUUCUCUCGUUUAUCUUCUCGCUCUUGCUCACUUGAUGAAUAUGCAUAGGUGGUAUUCAUCCGCGACAAUAAUAUUUCGGUAUAUCAUUGAUAUUGAAGAUCGUUUGAUUGAUAUACGAAUAUUUCUAACGACAAAACAUUUUCAUAUUAUUAAUUUGCAUUUAAAAAAAUCUGAGUAUCCAUUGAAAACAUGAAUAUAAAAGAAGAGACAAGGAAUUUUAUUCUGCACUAUAAUGUCCGCGGGUUCAUAAUGUCGGUUAUUAUCCCAACACUAAUUAUAUAUGCAUCUCUUUGAUCUUUGAAGAUCUUUGAAAAGUAGGCG
rnacentral:lncRNA from 1 species